ACCUGCAAGCCAUGGAAAAAUGCAAUCCAUAUAACAAAGUAAUGUAAACAAACAUAGAUAUAUUUUGUGUUUCAGGUUUUGUAGAAAAGAACAACUAUGUUAUUGCAGAAGAACGCAAUAAGUUAUAUUCUUUGUUGGAAAACAACAAUUAUGUUCUCUUUUUUUUUUUUUUUGGUUGAGGAAAAGACAAUUAAUUACAUAAAAACGUCGCCACCUCAGAAACACAGGCAAUCAAAUGAAGAGGCACACGUAUUACAAUUCUAUGUCCAGAAAUUUCACAAACAAUCUUGAGAAAAAUCGACAACCCAUCUUAACGCCUUGGUUGACAAUUAUGAUCUAUAAGCACUUAAAUGUGAAUCUGAAUUGACAAGGUAUACCAACUAGGCAACUGGAGAAAUUAAAAGGCAAUAAAGAACAGAGGUAGUAAUAGAAACUAAAAAUGACGUCACAUUCAGAUUUCUCAAGAAAAUUAUUUGAAGUUUUUAGAUUGGAAAAUACUAGUGACCAAAACAACCUGCCUUGAAAGAAACCAGAAUCAAUAAGAGGUUGAGUCUAUGUAGACUACCUGAACUCUAGAUGGCACCAGAUAAUCUCGAGCGCCUUCCGGAGUAGAUCGAGAAAGUAUUGGCGUCUCAAUCUACCUUAUAACCAUCAAAAGUUCAGAAUUGAAUAAUAGAGAAAAAAAAUUUCUGACCAUUCAAAGAGCAUAAUAUGAAGUUCUGAUGCAGAAAAUAAUUCAAGUAAACUUCAAGAAAGGCAAACAGUCGGUUAAAAGUUAUAAACAGGGAGUACCUCCACAAAACCAUGUACAUCCUCUAAAUAUCUUCGAAGGAGCUUCACCACUUUAUGACGAAGCAUUAUGUUAAAAUUCAUUUGUUUCCUUCGUAGAUCAAGGUACCGAUACCUAUAAAUACUCAACUCAUAAAUAAAAUAGACAUGGGUCUAGGCCUAGGCCUGAAGUGAUAGUAUAUCAAAUAAUCACCUCAGACGAAUUUCCUCUUUAGCAGAAUCCUUUGCAUCAUCAGCUGUUGUAACUAGAAAGGGCAACUUUGAUCCAACAGAAUUUAAUAUCUGAACAUGCUCCGCAGCAACCUUGAAUAUAUCAUGAAAUUAACCCCAUAACAAUAACUGAAUAAGUACAACUGUAAUAUGGUUGUUGAUUCAUUGGUAACUUAGAAUGAUCUAGAAGAAGAGAACUAAGAUAGUGAAGAAAAAGGUCCAAUUUCUACUAUACUUCAAUAGAACAGCAACUAGCCUAAAACCCAUCUGUGUCUCUUUAUUUUGUGGAAGACAUUACUUUUCAUUCCAUGACUGAGAAGUUGUGAGAAACGCACCCGUGGGAACUUAUAAAAAGUCACUCCAAUUGAAAUUUAUCACAAAAACAUUAUAAAUACCAAACAAACUAUUGUGAAUAAUCCAUGAAGUGCCCAAAAAGUCAAUUAAAUCCCCACAUUUUUAGGAAUAAACUGAUGUUCAUUUCAUUGAUGAAUGAAAUGUAUAAAAGGGCUUACAACCACCAUAAGCAGAUUACAGAGGAAAAUAUCUAAAACUAACAAGUGAAUAAAGUAAAAGUGUUGAAUUAGAAAGAAAAAAAAUGGCAUUUGACUCUUCAUUUAGGGUUGCAUCUUUUUUAUUGCAUAAGCUGCAUUCUUUCGUGAAUGGUUAUCUUUUUAGAUUUUAAGUUUUAACCGACUUGAAAAGGUGACAAGACUAUUCAAAUGGCCACUUACAUGUGCAUGUGCCUCCUCUCCAAAUUGAACUUACAUUUUCCCAUGAACACUUUUCUCCUAAAAAUUUUCUCUCGUUUAAACAUUUUUUGAAGUUUGGUUUACUCCACAAAGUAGAGUUCAUUAGAUCUUGUGAACGAGGAAGGUGUGGAUUCUAGAAGAAAAGUAAUUUGUUCCAUCUUGAAAGACAAUUACUCUCAAAACUCAGGCACUAUAGUGAUAAAAUUUAAUUUGUUGGCUCAUAUUUUUAUUGUAUGUGAGGUUACUAAUUUUAUGGUUUUACUUUUAUUUGAUAUUGUUCAUAUAACAAAAAGACUCUAAUCCUUGAAGCGGAGUACUUGCACCAAUAAGUAGUAUUACAAAAAAAAAUGCCAUAAAAUUAUCAGCAGGAGAUGACUUAUCAUAGAAGAUCCGGCUGUUAAUUUUGCACCAUAAAACUAAAUUCAACAAACCCAAUCUCUAUGGCCUCCUUCAAAAAUUCUCCAGAAACAAGUGGCUCUGAUUGCUACAACCUUGGAAUUCGUGCUUUCAAGUUUGCUUUCAAGUUGAGAUAAACACCACACGGCCAGCAAGUUCCAUGCUAGAAGUAGCAUCUAUUUGGAGACACCGGAAAAUCCCAAAAGAACUAAACACUUUCCCCCGCAACUAACCCAUCUCAAGCUUUUAAUAACCGUGACCAAGAACUCCCAAAAUUAUUGAUUAGUAAGAAUUAACUAAUUUAUUUGGCUAAAGGCUUAAGAUUUUCGGAAAUUCCUCCAAGAUACUAGGUUCAAGGCUUACAUUGUGUACUUGAUAACUUCAAAAUCUUGUUUAAAAUUGUUGUUUACUCGGGAGUUGGCCAAGUAGAUCGUAGGGGGAAGGCUUGAGCAUAACUCCUGGCUAGAUGAACAGUAAAACAAAAUUGAAAUUCUUACAUACCUCUAUCAAACCAGUUUUCAUUUUUACAUUAACCGAAUCCCCAGGCCGUGACCGAACAGUUCCUUCCACGGCAACAACAUACUCAAGUCGCAAAUCGUUAAUAGUCGAAUGAGCAUCUGGAAACUCGUUGGGGAGCGUAGUCACCUAAUUCAAGCAGUAAAAACCAAUUGUCAACAAUAGCACAACUUCAAUUUCAAACUAAUCCUAAAAAUUCAAACAGAGGAAUAAAAAAAAUAAGCACCUGAACAAUACCACUGUGAUCUCUAAGAUUGAGAAACGUCAAACCACCAUGAACCCUAUGCAGAGCAACCCAACCACAGAGCCGAACCCGCUUCCCAACAUCAUCAACUGACAAUUCACCACAGAGCGCCGUACGAUUGAUCCACUGAAGAGAGUCUUUAAAAGGGGAGUGAGGAUUCGAAGUGGGGACAAGGAUUUCGGUGGCGGAGGAAGGAGAAGGAGUGGCGGAAGUGGAGAAUGAGGAGACAGGUCUGUGAGUUGUGGAAAUGGAUUGGGGAAAGCGGAGAUGAGAAAUGUGGUGGCGGAUGGGGAGAAAUUGAGGAGGCUUUGGGCGAAUAGUGGAGAAAGGAAAAGCUCGGAGGAGAGAACGGGACAUGGCGCGGAGGAUUUUCAGAUGGGGUGUAAUGGAAGAUUGAAGGAGGCGAAGGGUUUAAGGAUUCUGAAAAUGGAGGGUAGAACGCACUGCGUGUGGAUGAAGACGCCUUAGACUUAGAGGAUGGCAUUUUGGCGCUUUUUCUUCACAUUUUAUUUCCUUUUUUGUUUUAUUUUCCCCUUCUUUCUUUGAUUUAGAUAGUAAUUUGUUGGAUAUUAUCUCUCUUCUAAAAAAAUAGAGAAAUUUCCACGUGGAAAACUAUGGUUUAUAUAGAAUCUAAAAUUUUGUAAAUAUUUUUAAUUUAUUUGGUUAUUUUCUAGAGUGUUUUCAAUAUCAAACUACUUUUAAAAAUAGUAAAAAAAUUAUUCUACUAACUUUUAUCGAAUAUCAUUUUCUAUAAUUGAUAGUAUAAAUAAUAAAUUAUAAGUUUUUAUCGUGUAUAGACUUUUAUUACUGUGAUAGAUUUAUAUCCGUUUUUGUAGUUAUAAACUUUUAUAAACAUCUACUUCCCUAAGAAAUGAAGAUAUAAUUUUUUUUUUACAACUUGUAAAUAGUCUUGCUUAGUUUAUUUACAAAAAAAAUUGUUCAAAUAAAAACGAUUUAAAUGAAUUUAAAAUUUGUUUUAAAAAUUAGUUUGAGUAGUUACCCAAUAUUUCAAUUUUUGUCUAAACUAUUUUUUUUUUUAAAUUAACACUUGGAAAUUUAAGCGAAACUCAUUCUUAAUCUCUAAUAUCUGUUUGUCAUAGUGUUUAUAUAUAUUAUUCUCUGCUUGUCCUCUCUUUCACUAUUUUGUAACAAUGCUUAUAAUUUUCUAUCAACAUUAAAAUAGGGUGUAAACGAUGGUGUUAGUGUAACACAACUACGAUAACAUGUACUCCAAACAUAGACUUUUUUAUCAUCUACGUAUUACUUAAUUUAUAAACGAUGGUACUAUGAUAUUUUUCCACCUUUUGCUCACAAAAUAACUCAAAGCAUGUUGCAGACAAAAGCAUCCUUGAUUCAUAUGGAAUAAGUUUCAAAGAAAAUUAGUGAAAUCGACGUGAGUGAAGCAUGAUUGAUGUUAGAUGGACUUGUCUAUCAUUGAAAGUGUUAAAAAAUCUCGAUGUGAUCUGAAUAACACAAUCAAUCCAACCUAUACGAUUUGUCGUCCAACCAAAUGGUGGCUAUCAUGGGUGUUAUCGGUUCAAGUUGACCUAAGCCUCAAAACGAACUAAAUCAAUUAAAAUAUUAGAUAAAUAUAUAUAUUGGAUCUCUUAAUUAUUGGUGUGGGCAAUUCAAUCAAACAGUUCGAUCAAUGAGAAUCCAACUUGGUUAACUCAAAUGGUUGUGUUUGAAUGUGGGUUUGGAAGUUCGUUUGACCAUCAAAUAAAUGUGAACCAACUUAGAUAGAUGAAAGAAAAACAAUAAAAAAAAUUAUCUCUCUAAAGUUUGAGACUAAUGUCUAACCAAUUCACAUAUAAUCGUAUAUAAUUAACAAUCACUUUAAUAAGGAAAUGCAUACUCCAAAUCUAGGAGUUAUAUCACUCAAAACUUCUAAGUCUUGCUUCUAUUAUGACUCACACGUCAUAAAUGAAUCCAUAUAUUUAAAAUACUCAUGAAUGUUUCAUUUCACAAUUUGAGUGCUGCAUAAUUGUGGAAGUGUUAAAUGAACACUUUUCUUUUACUUUAAUAAAGUGAAAACAAUUUUAUACACUUGAAAUUUGACCUGGGGUUUUUAAUGGAAUCAGUGUAAAUUAAUAACAUUAUAAGAGUAUAAAAUUUAAAUUAAUACAACCUGAGUUUAGAAUAUUAGUUUUCAUGAAUUUUAAUCAUUUAACCUCAUUUUUACCAUAAAUAUUAUUCUCAGUCUAUAAGUGUACUUUUAGCUUAGUAAAAAAUGAGAAGGAAAAAAAAAACUAUUUAUAAAUUUUCUUUUGUCGAGAAUAUUCACACGAGACAUUUAAUAUUAUUGUUAUUAGUUUGUAACUCUGGUACUUCCAAACAUUUCAAACAUCACUUAUCUUGGUACAACUUUUGUAAUAUUUGUACGUAUUUAAAAUAUUAUUCAUAUUUGAAACAUCACCUAAACCUAUCUUGAUGUAUUUUUUGGUAUACAGAAAUUGAUUUUUUUUAGAGAUAAUAACUGUGUUAUUUUUUUUUCAAACAAGAAAAGGAAAAAAGAAAGAUAUGGAGGAAGUAAAAUUUCACCAACGGCUAUUUUUCAUUUUUCAAUUCACUUUUCACUUUCGCAUGCUUUUGCUUACCCUCUCACUUAUUCUUUGGAAGUCCAACGGUCAAAUCCAAAACCAUCCAUUUCUUAAAUUUCUUUUAAAAAUAAAAAUCCCAAAAGAUCCCUUCAUUUACUAUGAAAAAACUAGCCGUUACUGACCGAGAAGCUAAGGAGUCAUCAUCUUCACCAAAACCCCUCUCUCUCUCCCCUUAAAUAUUUUCGCCGACUUUCCAUUUCUGUUCCACAUUUGAAUCUCUCAAAUUUCUCUCCCCUUGCAUCUGAAAAUUCUUCUCUCAAUUCCAUUUCCAUGGCGCUGCCGUCCAACAGGUCCUCCUCUCCGUCAUUUCUGUCCGGAAGAACAAGCCCUAAUUCAAGAAGUUCCGAAAUCAGUAACCCCAUCCGCCGGAGCUUCUCGGGUAACCCGUUUUCAAAGCAAUCCAUAGUUGCCAAUCCCAGAGGCUUAAACCCUAUCACUCCGGCCAAUAGUCCCUCUGGUAUGGUUUUGGUUUCUUCAUGGUUAUUCUUUUCAUAGGGAUCUUAGAGUGGUUUAAAUCUGUUUGGUUAAUGAAUUUUUUUUUUUUUGGGUUUGUAAAAGAAUAUCUGUUCGUUGGUAUCUGGCUAUGAGUUCGCCAUUUCCUUGCUUGGUUUCUUCCUUUAUAUUUUUGCUUGGUUCAAUUUUGUUUGUUUGCCGAGAAUGUUUAGGGUUUUUUCCUUUUUUUUUUUGCUACAAAGAAAUCUUCCUUUCUUUUUAAUCUCAAAUUGCUUCCAUCUUCAACGUUUGAAUCUGCGAUCUGUGUUUUUACUUGUUUAUUUUUUAAUAAAAAUUUUAGAUUAUCCACGAAGAAACUCAGUGAACAGAGAAAAUUCAUUUACUUCUCGGGACAUCUCGGAGAAAGAAAAUGGUAAAGAUCAGAGUCCUAAACCCGUUCGAGUUCGUUCACCGAUAGUUGGAAAAUCGUCGAAGCAUUUUAUGUCUCCUACAAUUUCCGCUGCCUCCAAGAUUGCAGUCUCUCCAAGGAAGAAGGUUCUGGGUGAUCGGAACGAGCCAGCUCGGUCCUCUAUUUCAUUUUCCGGAAUGAAGAGCUCUUCACUCAACUCGGUGAAUCGAAGUUUGGAGGCACCAGAGGCACUUGAAUCCGAUACCAACUCUCAAAUUCCUCCUGUUUCAAAUUCAAAAACAGCAAAGAUAGUGAGAUUUGGUGGUUUUGAGGUCAUUUCUGAUUCAUUUGACGAUUCGAAAUCCACUUACAGAUACGAUUUGAACCCGGAGAUGGUGGUAACAAUGGCAGUCGAAACCGAUAUGACGUCUGGAAAUGCUCAAGUUUCAAAAUCCACCAAUGCUGUAGCACCUUCCGAACCAUCUAAUUCUGAGUUUGCGGUAAUCUCUGUCUCGAACAACGAUUUAGACUCUCCUCCAGCUAAGAGUAAUUUAACUGAAGAAGUGGAUUGUGUCAAUCUUGAUCUUGAUCAAAGUUUUAAGAUAAGUCCUGUUUCUUCUCCAACAAUAGCACCUCUCGAUGCUGAUCCAUCACUUCCCCCUUAUGAUCCAAAAACUAAUUAUCUGUCUCCAAGGCCUCAGUUCCUCCAUUACAGACCAAACCGAAGAAUCAAUCGAUUUGAACCAGACGGCAGACUUGAGGAAAAGCUCCUUUCCUUUGCCAAUGUUUCCGAGUCUGAAUCUGUGGAGGAAACUGAUUCUGAAGAUUCAUCAAAGGAACUUGAUGAAGCUUCUUCCAACGAAUCGCAGAUGGAAGAAGAAGAAGAUGAAGUGGAAGAGGAGGAGGAGGGAAUUAAUGUUUCUGAACAAAGCCCAACAAAAGUUCAAAAGUCAUGGAAGGUGUCCGUGUCAAGAAUAUUCAAGAUCAGCUCUUUGCUUUUGAUCUUGUUUACUGCUUGUUUUUCUCUUUAUGUUGUGAAUGUUCAUGAUCCGAGUAUCUUCAAGAGGCCAAGCUCAUUAACAAUGGAAGAUGCAUCCGAAAUUUACGAGCUGGCAAAAACAAAUUUCAAUGUGUUCGUCCAGAAACUUGAGGUUUGGAAUGUGAAUUCCAUCUCUUUUAUUUCUGAUAUGGUUUUCAAUUUCAGAGGAGGGCUACCACUGGUUCAUUAUGAAAACCAGACCGAGUUCUUCAAUAUGAAUGAGCAGUGUCUUGUAUUAUCUCAUCAAACUGUGUGGGAAGAAGAAAACAUAUUGAAUGUAAUGGAAGCCAUGAAGGAUGGAGACACUGACAUUUUUGAAGAACCUAUUGAGAUAGAAGAACGACAAGAAGAAGAAGAAACUGACAUUUUUGAAGAACUUGUUGGAAUAGAAAAGCGACCAGAAGAAGAAGAAAUCGGCAUUUUUGAAGAACCUGUUGAAAGAGAAUCCGAGAACGAAGAACAAGAACAGGAACAACAAGUAGACUUGUUGCAAGAGAUUGAAGCAAUGAAGAUGAGAGAAAUUGGUAUUGAAAAUUUUGAAAGAGAAUCUCAAAAUGAAGAAGAGCUAGAAGAGGUAUCAUUUCAAGGAAGUGAUGAAGUCAAUGCCAAUGAAGAAGAGAAGAAUGGAGAGGUUUUUGAAGAACCAUUAGAAGAAAUCAAUGAAGAGACCUCAGAAAAUUCAGCUUCCGAUGAACUAUGUGAAGAAGAAGAAUACAUCCAAGAGAAAUCUGAGGACAAUUUCAAAUUUUCUUCAACGGAUGAUUUCAAAUUUCAUGAUCAAAUUAGACAAGAAGCGGCAGCAGCAACAGGGGAAACAGAGGGAGCAAAGAACACAGAAUUGCAAUACCAGUCACCUCCAGUUGAACGUCAAACUGACUUUGACCAUGAAAUUGGAGGCAGAACCAUUGAUGUCAUCAGAACAGAAAUCGGAAUCUCUCGGGAUUUUACACAAACCAAAGCUAUUAUAAUAUCUGCUAUACUGCUGGGUUUAUCUCUUGUAACUGCAGGACUGAUUUAUGGAAGAAAAUCAGGCUCAAAACCACCACCACUAUCCAUUGCCGAUGAGCAAAAGAAGGAGCAGCCUCUGAUGAACAUGAGUCGAGUGGAAGAAAAAGAUGAUGAAGAAGAUGAUAUGGGUGGAGAAUUUUCUAUUUCUGAAACCAGUAGUUUCCAAUACAGUAGCAUGAGGGAAGGAGAAACAAAAGCAGACAAAACAUUGAAUGAAGUUGAGAGCCAUAGCCAUGUAAGGAGGAAGAUGAAGAAGAAUUCAAGAAGAGAAUCAAUGGCUUCUUCUCUAGAUGAAUAUUCAUUGUCCACUUCAGCUUCUCCAUCUUAUGGGAGUUUCACGACCUAUGAGAAGAUCCCAAUCAAGCAUGUGAGUAUCUCAAAUUUGGAGUUCAUUAGUAAUGUGAUAUUUUUCUUUCUUGUCCUUUUGAUUUUAUUUUUAAUUAACUUAUUUAAAAUAGGAUGUGUUCAAAUUAUUUCAAAGUACAGUUUUAUAAAAUCCAAUUAUUAUAAAGAUUAUUGUUUUGCAAAACAGCUCAAGUCAAAAAUAAAAAAUUUUAAAAGAUGAUAUUUGGUAAUUUACAUAAAUUGUUUUUUUUUUCUCUUAUCUAAUUCUUUCUAUUUGUUUGUUAUAGGGUGAUGAAGAGAUUGUGACUCCUGUGAGACGUUCUAGUAGAAUUAGAAAGCAACACAACAAUAGUUGAAUUAGGUGAACUUGGAAUAUGCUUCUGUGGUUUGAAAUUUAGAAUAUUUUGUGUAGGUAAUGUCAAUCUUCAUUACUAAGAUUAGAGCUAGAGAGCAAAGGCAACCGUAGUUGCUAUUUUCAUCUGUUAUAUAAAAUGUCUUUGUUGGGACUCCUGAGACUAUUUUGUUGUGCAUACAUUUUAAGUUCUUAGUUCUUCAUUCUAACAAGAAAAACCUACCCCUCUACACAAAAUUUUGUAGAUUAAUUGACACAAAAUGUAUGAAAUGAUUUGUUGUUUGGAUCUUUUUUUAUAUAUAUAAAUAAUUAUUUGAUUUUUAUUUCAAGUAAAAAAAUAUAAUUGUGUUAAUUGAUUAUUUAAUCAAACUUAAAUUAAUUGAGUGUGAGUUUUCCACUGAAGACUGGAGGAGAUAAGGUAAUAUAUAUUUAAAAAGCCUAUGAUCUAUUUUUGAUCCUUUUUAUCGUCCUUUUUCAUCGUUUACUUCACAAACUCCUUCACAUCUCUAACAGGUCACAACUCAGUUUUUCGUCUUUCUUCCCUAUUUUGAUAUUUUAAAAUGACACCUGUUUGUAUCGAGGUUCAAAUCUUGUACCCUUACAUUUUUUAAUUGCAAUAAAUUUUUUUAAAAAAAUAUUUAAUGUAGAAAUUACAAAUUUUAAAAAUUGAGGGGUAGCUGUAAGUGGAUAAAAUAGUAAAAAAAGUAAAUAAAUAAAAGGAUGAAGUAUAGUUUUGGGGUUUGAAAGGUAAGAAGGGGAGAGACCUCCAGCUGUCGUCCAACAGCUGGGUCCGUAUAUUUUGGUGGGUUUUAUAUAUUUGCAUAUGCCGUCCGUACAUCUUUGUCCCUUCCUCAACCAAUCCUUUUUUUUUCCCCUUAAUAUCAUCUUUUGAUUAAUCCAAAAUUUUAACCUAUAGAUUUAAUUAUAUAACUGUCCUCUUCCUUCCUAACCCCUUUUGAUAUCCAUAAUAAUAAUAAUACCUAACAUGAAAAUACACAUAUAUAAUCUAAUGUUUUUUAGCUUAUUGUUCUAAAAAAUUAAUUAUCAAAUUUUCAUUGCCUCAUAUGCCACUCUUUUGUUUCAUCCAUAUAAUUCUAUAUCUACUACUCAUUUUCCUCAUAAAUAGUGACAUGCAUUUGAUGAAACUUUAAGAGGUUUGCGUAUUAACAAGAAUUUGAAAUAAUUCUGGAUCUAUGAGUUUCUUUUUCUUUUUUAUCUCUAUUCUUUAUCAAAUUUAAGCUUAAUUUUGAAAACAAAAAAAAAAUUUAAUGAAAAUUUUGAUAAAAUAUUUACAAAAAAAUAUAACAAAAUUUUAAAUUUUAGUUAUAAUAAAAAAAGAAUUACCAAAUGACACCCAAAGCGGUUUGGAACCAAUAACCACUUCUUAUUAAGCUAGAUCUACAUUUACUUCUCAGAGUAAUUAUUGCUAUCUAUUGCAAUUUAUUGUAGUGAUUUUUUAAUUUUUUUAAAUUUUCAUUUGAAACAAGUUAGAAGUAAAUAAUUGAUAAUUUAAGAGAAGAAUUUGUUAAAGAUUUAGGAAAAUUCCAAAAGAAAUGGGAAAGGGAGAAAAGGGUUUUGGGUCGGACAGAACUGCAGGAAACAGUGGGUGGCACGUGAGGUUUAGAGGUUGAACCUAAACCACAAGCCAACGCCGGGAAAGUUAGUUGACCGGUAAAGUUCAAAUUAAUUUAUAUCUCUUCUUAACACCUAAACACUGUGACAAAAGUCUUCUUCCCAUUCAUAAAUAAUUAGGGUUCUUCUCAUCGAAUAUUCUUCUUCUUCUUUCUUGUUAAAUCCACCAUUGUUCCUUACUCGGCGGACUAUACUAUUUGAAGCUAUCUAAGGCCUCUUCUUGCAGAAGAAGGCUAGAUAGUUGCAGAGUUACUUAAUCUUCUUUCUUGUUUUUUGUUAAUGGCGGAGGUCAAUGCUAUGAUGAUUCGUGCUCGCUGUAAUUUUAUGGUGAGAAACCCUGUGUUGGAUGUGAAGCGUUUGGGCUUUCGGAUGCCGGUUAUGGGUCGCCGAACAGUUUGGUGUAGUCGGAGGAGGAUGAAGGGGAGAGUUGUAAAUGGAGUGAAGGCGACAAUGCAGGUCGAUUUGGAGGAUGAGGAGAGGUUGAAAAGAUUGGAGGGUUUAGAGGCCACUUUAGGGCUUGAUAUUGUAGCGGAGAGGGAAUUGAAGGAGAAGGGGUUUUUAGGGAUGAGGAAGACGAAGCUUGUAUGCACUGUUGGUCCAGCGUGUAGUGGGAUUGCGGAUUUGGAGAAGUUAGCGUUGGAAGGUAUGAAUAUUGCGAGAUUGAAUAUGUGUCACAACUCGAUGGAGUGGCAUUGUGAUAUGAUUAAGAAAAUCAAGAAGUUAAAUGAGGAGAAAGGAUUCUGUAUUUCGGUUAUGAUUGAUAUUGAAGGAAGUCAGAUUCAUGUGGUUGAUCAUGGAGCUCCUUCCUCUGUAAAAGUUGAGGUAAAUUGUAAUUGUCAUGUCUCUGUUUUCAUUGUUUCCCUUUACUGUAGUCUAAAUUCUCUGGUCGUCAUUGUUCAGGAUGGUUCAAUCUGGUUGUUCACUGCUAAGAAAUUCGAAGGUUCUCGUCCAUUCACUGUGCAAGCGAGCUAUGAAGGUUUCUCUGAAGGUGCGUUUUGAAUCGUGUAUUCUAUUUGUGAUCGAAGAAAUAUUUGAAUCCGAGAAGCUAAUUAGGACAUGGUUUUGAAGUUGAAGAUCUUGUUUUUACGAAUUUGGGCAGGUAUCCGAGUGGGUGAUUCAAUUGUAAUUGAUGGGGGAAUGGCAACCUUUGAAGUUAUUGAAAAGAUUGGGAAUGAUUUAAGCUGCAGGUGCACAGACCCAGGUUUAUUUCUUCCUCGGGCGAAGUGUAGCUUUUGGAGAGAUGGAAGGCUUGUUAUGAGAAAUCACGAGUCUCCCACGUUGUCAAGUAAGGUAGGAACGUUUUUCCUGUAAUAUCAAUAUUCAUACUGAGAAAUUUAUUUUUGAUAAAUAUAAUUAGAAGUGCUCACUCUUAAGUUAAACUUUCAAGUAUGAUGUAUUCAAAGAUCAAGAACCUAAGAUGUUGCAUUCUUCGUUUUGGUAUUACUAUGGAGGAAAUCUUAUAUCCAUUAUUUUCGAAGUUUUCUUUCUGUGGGAUUACAAGUUGGGUCCACUAUCUUGAGUCGUGGGGACAGUUUCAUGGUUCGACAUUUUUUGUUACUCUGGGUUGUCAACAUGGCAAUGUUUUUACUUGAUUCAAUAUGGGAAUAACAGUUUAAGGUUCAUUAUUUAAGAGUUGGCUUCUUGUUGUGGUUGUCAACACUACGAGUUCAAUUUCAAAAUUUUUCUUUUUUGGGUGCCAGCAUUAAAAGUUUAUUCCUGGACAUUUUCAUCUCUGUCGUGAAGAAAAUUUAUCUAUUUUUAUGCACGUAAAACUAAUUUUCUUGACAAUUGUCUCUCCAUUGACGAGGUUGACUUUCUCAUAUUAAUGCAGAGUAAAAGGUCUUGGUAUUAUGUAAUUAAAUUUAUCUAACCUAUCAACUUAUAUAUUUUUAGGCUGAUCGAUGUAUUGGAUCUUUCUGAUUAAUGUCAUUUCUUCUAAUUAAUGUUAAUUUUCACAUGUGAACUUUUUACAAAUUUAUAAUUCACGAGCCCGAGUAUUAAACUAUUGAAAUAAUUUCAGGUUGACAUGGAAUUCAAUUAAUAUGAUGGUGUAUUACGUUAUUCGGUUUUCCGUUGUGCAGGAUUGGUCGGACAUUGAAUUUGGAAUUUCAGAAGGCGUGGACUUCAUUGCCCUUUCUUUUGUGAACAGUGCAGAUCCUGUCAGGCAUCUAAAGAACUACCUUUCAACAAAAUCAGCGAAGUAAGCAUCGAUUCAAGAAGUCAAUAUUUUACCAUGAGUUAGGUCGAAAUAUCACUAUCACUACUAUGCAUGAACUUUUGAUUCCUUGUCUUUUUUUAAUUGAAUUUUCAACAGCAUUUCAUAAGAUGGAUUCCCAUGACACUAUUGAGGCAUUAUUUUCCGCAAAUUUUGAUUACUGAAACAGAUUGGGUAAUUUUAAAACUUCGCUCAAGUGAUGAAGUGUAUAUUCUCUUUUUCAUGCACAGAUCUAUAAGGGUAUUGGCUAAGAUUGAAAGCUUGGAGGCCCUUCAAAAUCUGGAAGAAAUUGUAGAGGCCUCUGAUGGAAUCAUGGUGGCUCGAGGGGACCUUGGGGUUGAAAUUCCGCUCGAGCAGAUACCAGCAGUGCAAGAGGAAAUAACCAGAGUUUGUAGGGAAUUGAACAAACCAGUGAUCAUAGCUUCUCAACUUCUAGAGUCCAUGGUUGAAUAUCCUACCCCAACACGUGCUGAGGUACAAGUGACAUGUGCUUUUGAUUGUUUUCAAUUUUGGACUUGUUUGAAAUGACUAUCUAAGUAUUUAGAAAAGUGUCUUUUUAAGGCUCUUCUUGUGCUCUCCAGAAGGCUGAGAUUUCAUACUCUUCGUGUUCAAUAGGUUGCAGAUGUUUCUGAAGCUGUCCGACAAUAUGCUGAUGCGUUGAUGCUAUCUGGGGAGUCUGCCAUAGGAUCAUAUGGACAGAAAGCACUUUCGGUUCUACAGAUGGCCAGCAGCCGAAUGGAAUUAUGGAGUCGUGAAGAAAAUAGGAACAAUUUCCUUCCCCAGCAUCAACUUGGAGUGUCAUUGCAUGAUCGCAUUGCAGAAGAAAUUUGCAAUUCUGCAGCUGAAUUGGGUAAAACUCACUUUUCUCCACUUUCUUUUUAAACAAAGUCCAUCGUAUGGGAUCGUCAAAAUAACAUCAUAAUUCCCUUUUGGCUAUGUCUCAUGUCUAUCGGCUACCUUCUUUAUUACGUAAUCAUGCAAAAGAAAAUCGUAUGAAAUAUAUUGGCUUGCCAUUUUAGUCCAUUCUUCUGCGCUUAGUUUCAAUGUGAUAUUUCUGGUUUAGAAGUAUAUAUCAUCAAAAUCCUUCAAAAACAUAUCGGCUGGAUGUUUUCACUCAUUUCUGUUCUGAGUCACUGUCACACUGUUCUCGAUCAAAUUUUUAAAAAAUCUUUUACUUAUUAAGUAAUUUAAAAACCUUUGUAAAAGGUAAGAGUAGAGUAAUAUCGUAACUUCCACAAGUACAGGGCUAGUUUUGAAACAAAUGGUCAGUUGGAGGAUAUUUUCUUAUGAUUUAACCUUAAAAGUUGUUAACAAUUGGUAACAACAGAGAAGUUUUGUGAGAAAAAGCUGGUUGUGUCAUGGUGUGGUAGAACUAGAACACUGAGUCUUUGAUUCUUAGGUUUGAAGAAGUAAAUCAAUUACCUUCAAAACAAGAGGUUCUGUUUGUUUGAAUGUUGCUAAUUGCAUUUGGCCCACGUUUCCACUAAAAUAAAAACCUCCAUAUUCUUUGUGGCAGCUAACAGACUUUCAGUAGACGCCAUAUUUGUGCUCACAAAUCAAGGGCAUAUGGCAUCUCUCCUUUCCCGGAACCGCCCAGGGCCGCCAAUAUUUGCAUUAACCGACGAUGAUAGCACAAGAAUGGCUUUGAAUCUACAAUGGGGAGUGUUUCCUUUGCGAAUUGACCUCUCAGAAGACAUUGAAGCAAACAUCUCAAGAGGGAUCGAGGUUGUGAAAUCAAAGGGAUUGGUAAAACAGGGGGACUCUGUGCUUGUGGUCUCAGAGAUCUCUCCAGCUCGAGCUGCGUCAAUGGCGUCCCAAUCAAUUCAGCUCAAAACCAUCGUGUAGAACAAAGAAAAAACAGGUCAAGCUUUGUAAGUGAAACUUUAUGAUUGCAUGUAUCAUAUGUGGUGGAUAUUACACGUGAAUGUUGCAUCUUAUCAUUUGUGGCCCUCUGUUUGUAACGACUAUUGAAGCCUUUGAUAGGUUGUUUAUUAUUAUUUGGAAAAUGUAAUAACUCUACUCAAAUUUGAAUUUAGUUUUAAUAGUAUUGUAUUGUUUUGUUUGGUAACCCUUUUAUUUUUAUUUGUUUGAAAACCAUCCUAAUAAUUAUCUUUUUAAAUGCAUAAUUAAUCAUAAUUAUUUUAAAAGCUAUAUUGAACAUAUAAUUUUAAGAAAGUUUAGGAUUUAAUUACUUUAGCUAGAGUCUAUAUCGAUAUAAUUCCAAGAUUUAAAGCCUAAAUUGAUUUUAGGUCUAAGUCCUACCCAAAUGCUUGACGCCAUGAGUAGAGUACGUUAAUUAUAAGAUCCAUUUUGUUUUCUGGAUUGUGCUUCUUAGCAGCUAUCUGGCAUUGGGUGUAUUGGGAUCUAGAAAUAUUUUCUGAUGAACGUACAGGAAAACCUUCUUUGGAUUUGCCGAAGAUUUUUGGAAUUCAUUUAUUUCUCUCAGGGUUGGGUUGUUUUGGUUUUGGUGCAUUUCAUGUAACCGGAUUGUACGGUCCGGGAAUAUGGGUAUCCGAUCCUUAUGGAUUAAGUUCAAGUACCGCAACAAUUUUCUUAUAUUGAACAAAACAACUUUCAAACUCAUAUUUGUGAUGUUACAUACAACAUGCCAUAUGAUGUACAUAUACAUACCAUACCAUACAUCUGCACAUAUUUGUAAUUUGUUUCUGAAAUAGAUAGAAGUUAGAUAGAUGAAUAAUCCAAACAUCCUCUUCAAUGAAAUGCCCCUUGUGGAACUUUCUACACCAUAUGUAUUCAAUCAUUGCUAUCCCCACACAACACACACAGUCACACACACACAUAUAUCAUAUCUCUCUUUCUCUCAUUCUCCUUUUUCUUCUAAACAAAUAAUAAAAUAAAACAAAUAAACCGAAGCCACAAGCAAAAUCCCAUUCUGGGGCCCUCAAGCAUGCGCAAUUUAGUAUUUGAACCUCAUAUGUUGGCUAUAAUGCGCACCGACAGAUGCGUAUACGCUUUAAUCGUCGCCUCCUGUCCUGGCCUCCGCUUGCGUUUCAUUUUGUUUUUGCUCUCUUUUGUGGAAAAAUUAAGAUGAAACUAUUUCUCCCAUUCAAUUCUGCUAUCUAACUAAUCUAUGGCUGCUCUUCAAAUUCUCAAAUCAUCUCUCUCUCUUCCUUCCAUCUCGCACUCGAAUUUUGGCUCUCAAUCAACACGCUUCGUCUCUGACUUUGAUUCCCUACUCCUUCAUGGACGUCGGAGGAGUUUGCGUUAUGCCUGCGUUUAUAGAAGGUUCACUUUCCGUUGCGCUGCUAAAGAUACUGAUAAGGAAACCAAUGGCAAGUUUUAACUGCUUUUCUUCUGCUUCGUUUCUACCGGUUUUCUUUUUCCAUUGCACCUGCUUUGCUUGUAUUUUCUUUGGUGAUUGACUGUUCGUUUUUUCGUUGUUUUUGUUUUGCUAAACUACGAAGUUGCAUGAUGUAGUUUGUUGUUCAGAUGCUCCGUCGCUUCUGAAUUAUCUCGCUCAGUUGAAAGUAGCUCAAUCAUGUAGCAAAAUCGUGCGAGUAUUCAUCAAGCUAUUUGAGUAAAUGAGGAGUGGAAGAUAGUUGAGGCUAUGAAUAAAGGUUGCUUCGUUGGCACUCUAAUUCUCAUUAGAGCUUUAUUCUUGAAUCAAUAUAGACACGAUUCGAUAGAUGGAUUAAACCGGAAUCUGAAAUUUUAAACUAAGAAUUUUUUUACGUUCAACGAUUUUUUAAAAAACUUAAGAGAUGGCGAAUCUAAGAGUUUUGUUAAUCAGACAGAGGAAGCUUGGUAAACGGAUGAAAUUUUCAUUUCGAUCAAUGUCUGUAUUAACCAUCACUUGAUUCUAUAAUCCGAAGUCUUCCUUGGUUCAAUUUUUGUAGUCAAAGCUUUUAGGAAGCUUCAAGUAUGUGUCGAGCCGACAGUUGUAGUACCGUACUUGUAUUAGGAGUCGUAGCUGGCGAUGCUUGUUUAGAUUGCUUGAACAGUUUUCGCAUAGGUUCAGUUUUUCUUUUAAGAAGUGUUUCGGACAUUUGAGUUUUCUUCAGCUUGUGUAACAGCGGCAUGGUUUGCUUGGCCCUCCUGUGUGGAGGCUCAUGAGGCCUUCAAGCUUACUCUCAUGAAUUUACCUAGCCGGUCUCCUUUGUGCAUAUACCAUCUUCCUACCAUGUUCACAUCUGGAUUUUCUCUCUCUUGGUCCAUUGUAGAAGAAUGCGUACAUAUUAGAGCAGACCUUUUUGCGUUCACCUGUAGAUGUUCCAAGCAAGUUUUUAACUGUCUCAGUAGUGAUAUCUCCAGUGGUAAGUCUUGGUGAUUGGAGUUUUCACAUUCCUCAUUAGGAACCUGAAGAUUCUCUUUUGUUGAUUAUUGUCUUAUACUUUCUUUACGCAAGUCAUACGUUCCCAUUCAUGCAUUUCAUAUAAAUGAAGUCUUCCAUGCCGCAAGUAGCAUACAAGAAAACUGUAAUGUCUAGUUAGGGACCGGUUAAAACAAAAACCAACUUCUCAAUGACAUAAUGAAAAGAUAAAACAUCUAGGAGAUACAAACUCUCACAAUGAGAGGAAAAAGAAAAAAGAAAGGUAAGGAUCUGCAAAUACAACCAAAAAGGAUAAACUUCCGAAACAAAAGAAAGUACAAAACUACCGAAGAAACCCAGAAAACGACCACCAACCAACAGAAGACUAACAAAGAGCAAACUGAAAACUCCUUAAACGAUUUACACACUAAAAAUCCAAUGAAAGAAGCGUUUGAUGAACCAAUACCAAGAAUCUUAAAAAGAAAUCUUCUCCUAAUGCUCUAAAAAAUUCCAUCAGGAGAAUGAAACAAAGCCCAACAAGUAAUAUUAACCUGCCAAAGCGAAAACUUCAGAAACAGCGAACAAGAAACCGUCUUCCCUUUAUAAAGCAAUUCAAAAGAAAGUACACCCACGAUCUCUAGCAAUCAAAGCAAAAAUUCAACUCUUAUUGACAAACAAGUUGCCUCAGCUCCUUAGAACUUUACAAGAGGGGAAAGAGGGUGAAUUUCUUUGAGUUGUAAACCACAAGCUUCAAUUAAAUAUGAAAACCUUUUAGGAACUAAGGAAGGAAAUAUAACUGGUGAAAAAGGUUGAGAAGCCCUUAUCAAAUUAUCUUGGACAUAAUUCAUCUCAAAAGCAUCAGCAAAUGAACCCACAAGCUAAGCAUCUUCAAACACUCUUUGUGCUUUCCAAGGUUGAACAAAGCAAGGAAAAGCAACUUAAAUCAUUCUCCACAUCAAGAAACUAGGUUAUGGAGAAUGAUUUUAAUUUUGAAGGACUCUUUGUGUUUUCCAAGGUUAGAGAAGGUUGCUUUCUCUACACCUAUGACUCUGCGGAUGCCUGGUAUGAUAGAAAUUUUCUGGUGAUCUUAUUUGUCAUCAAGUUGACCAACCAUACUAUGACUGUAUUAUUGGCUGCUUCCCAUCCUUCGUAUUCAGUCUAACCAUAUAAUUGGUUUUCUCAUUUAGUUUGUGAGUAUUGAUGGAUAUGCAGCACCUUCAGAACCAUCAGAACCAUCAGAACCAUCAGAACCAUGUGUAUGUGUAUGGUUGAAUGUUUCUUUUGUAACCGGGAGUGGAAGCUGCGCUCAUACACUGGGACACCUGUACCUGACCCAAGGACUGGAGUUGAUUGUAGUGAAUAAUGUAUUUUGCAUGAGAUGAAUUAUGUCAAUAAAGUUUCUUUGCAUUACUUUCUGCAGGAGAAGAACCUCCAGAAUCAUUAUUCAUGAAGGAACUGAAGAAGAGAGGUAUAACUCCCACUUCCUUGCUUGAGGAUACUAACAGCAGUGACUUUGAACUUGGUGGCGAGAUGACUGGAGAAAACAGAGAUUUCUCCCGUAGAAGUGCUGUUUCAACGGAAGUUAACAAGAGCCUAUCCAAUCAAAGGGAGCGUUCCAUGCAAUUGAACAGUGAAGGCCUUGAGGUCAAUUUCCUUAUGAUUUUAUUGAGAUCUAGUGAAUAUGCUAUUCAAAUGUCUAAAUUCAUUUCAUCUGAUCUGUUUCAUUUAUUACUCUUACCUUGUUUGACGAGUUCUGACCAAAAUAACCAUAAUUUGAUGACUAGUUAAUGAAAUUAUUAUUAUAUUCCACCAUGAAUAUUGAAAGACUGGCUGGACAUGCAAAAUGAAAAUCACAAAUAAUGGGUCUACAAAAAAUAUCAAAUGUUGGCUCCAAACGUUGAGAACCAUCCAAAAGAAAUGGACGGCCAAAAAAGCCUAAACGAAAAAUUUAUAGUGAGCCAAGUUUCACGCAUCCUUCCAUGACCUCUCUGCUAGUCUUCCCCACAAAAUUCCUCGUGUUCCUUUCCAACUAAAUACACCAAAUAACAAAACAAAAUAAAAUAAAAAUUGCCUCCCGAGGAACCUUCCCAUUGUUACAGAAAGGAGGAUGAAAACUAAUUUCCUCCGCACAUCCCUAAGUCUAAGUGUGUGAUCAGAAAUGAAAAGCAUACUCCAGUCCAUCAUGGACGAUGAAUUCUCUUCCUGAAAAAGGCACCUUUUAUCAACAGAUGCCAAAGAAGGAAACCAAUCUACCCAAACAAACAACCAUUCUGAACUCUUGGAGAACCUCAGCAAAACAAAAGUUGCCUUUCUCAACCACAAACUUCCCUCCAUUCAUAAAGCCCAAUUCGAAAGACUUACUUUCUAUUGGAAAACGCCACCAAACACGUAGGCAGUGAUAAUCAAAGAAGAAAGUGCCAGACUUCUUCCUCCCGAAAAAAAAAAAAAAAAACUAGCAGCUUUCUAACAGUAACUGUAACUUCGGCACGCCAAAGCCUAAUAAUUGGAACCAAUAAUUCUGUUGAAUCUUAGCAAGCAAGAGUGGGUUAUGGAGUAUCCAAUGUCCAUUCAGCAGAAAACACCAAUAAAUUUAAGUAUAUAAAUGCUCUAAAACUCCCCCUCAUUUAUACGCUUUAAAAUGUGUAAAAUGCCCAACAUGUGGAAAUUUCAAUAUUAACUAAGGAAAAAUAAACAUUACAAAGGUCGAAGAUAGAUAGGACUUCUUUUUCUGAUACCAUAAUAGACUAUCAAGCAAACUAAAAACUUAAACAGAAUUACAGAAUUAAUUCCCCAACAGUCUCAUGGAUUAAAAUUUAGUUAUUUUCAUUUCUAUCAUUACAACUACAUAUUUCAGUUGUAUGUCUUAUGUAGUUUGAAUUAAUUAUGUUUGCUUUUCAGGGGUUGAUCCCUCGUGCUAAACUUUUGCUAACAAUUGGAGGAACGUUCUUCUUAGGAUUCUGGCCGUUGAUCAUCAUAACGGUUUCGUUCUUUUUUGGUUUAUACUUUGUAAGUUUCCUUUCACUUACUACUACAGAGGAGCUGGACUUACAAAACCCUAAAGGGAAACUAACAAUUAUUCUCUAACAUUUAACGCAGUUUUUGGGAGCCUCUUUUAUUCAUGAUGGCCAAACGCCAAUAUCUCCUCCACCGUAUGUUGACCCAUAUGCUCUUUUAGAGGACGAAAGAAUUUCACAAAUAGCUCCUCCUGUAAAUUGACUGCUGCAAAAUCCUCUAAUUGGUUGGUUUUCUGCUACUUUGUUUUCCUUACCCAAUAUUUAUUGCCACUAUAUGUAAAUGAUUAUUAGCUAGAAUUUUGUGGUCUUGCGCUCUAUUUUAUUUCUCGAAGUCUUUAGUUUUUUUUUUUCUUCGACAAUAUCUGGGUGGGGGGAGGGAUACCAAAUCUAUGACCUCAAAGUUAACAGUACAAGUUGUAAAACCUUCAAUCAUUCACACGUAGACGGGGGUAAAAGGGGGGAAAGCUGUUGAAGAAAGGAUGUAGGGGUUUAUGCACGGUUUUGGGAUGUUCUGUGGAGAAUUUUGGAGGUUAGGGGAAAGCUUUUGGGAAAGGGAGGCAACUCUCGAAUCAGUCCUUAUCUCGUCUUGUUUUGUAAUUGCUAUGUUUUUUCUUGUUUUAGAGAUAUGGUAAUAAAUAUUAUUGCCCUUUUGGUUGUUUAUUAUUAUUAUUAUUAUUGAAUUAUGAAAAAGAUGAGGGAGAUAUCCAAGUCCCUCUAUUUUGGUCGUUGUUGGAUAGUUUUGUGUGUGUGCUGUGUGCAGGGAGGAGAUUAAGGAUAUGAUAUCUUCCAUUUUUGUUUGGAAGAAUGAGAAGAAGAAAAAAAAAGGGCGUUGGAAUAGACGAGACGGAAGUUAGUUGGAAUGAAUGGAAACCCAUGAGGAGAUAAAAUGGGGGUGGGGUGGUGGAAGGAAAUGGUGUUUGGAUGUGUCAGAACUUCAUUCGGACACAUAGAACAUCCCAAAACCCUACUUUGAAACUAUGUUUUGAAUUUUAAACAUUACUCAGAGUCAAAUAUUAAAAUUAAAUAAAUAAAGUUCAUAAUGGUUAUUAUAUCCAUCAUAGCAUACAAACUUGGCUUUGCGCUUUUGGAAUUUGGAAGGAUGAGAGUAAUAAAGAAAUUACUUUCUCAAAAAAAAUAAAAAAUAAAAUAAAAAACUUUUCUUGACUUUGAAGUUAAGUGUUGUGGACAUUUUUAGGUGUAGGAGUCGACCAAUCUUUGAAUUGAAGAUUUAUGGGUUUUUUCUUAGGCAUGCUUUGCUGUAGGCCCCCGUCUUUUUUCUAAGAAUAAAAAUUAAAAUGGGCAAAUAAUAAAAAAUAGCACUAUUUUUGUUCAAAAUAUCAGGAUUAAAACCCUUCUUCGUAAAAACAAUUUUAGCUACCGGCCGUUAAAUUAUUAACUGAGAAAUAUUUAAAAUUUAAACUGAAAUUUUAUUUUUAUUGAUAAUAAAAAAACAAUUUCCGACAUUUUUAACGAAUUCAAUAUUAUUUAUACGAAUUGUUAUUUUCAAAAACAAUAUUAUUUCUUUUCCUUUUCUUGGAAUUUGGAUUCGGUACCAAUUCUUCAAAAAUUAUGAAAGAAGAAAAUAACAAUAAAAUUGGAUGCCAAUUUGAAGAAUACAAUGGCCAUUUGAAUUAAAAACAUAGGUUCAAUAAUAAAAGCCUUGGAAACAAGAAGUAUCACAGCAUCAUUUCAUAUAGAGAGAAGCCACAUGAAAAAAAGACAUAACAAGAAUGCCAAAAAAACCAAAGUGCAAUAAGCAGAGCACCACACACCAACACUCCCAAACAUACACACAAUGAGGCGAGAGAGAUCGAGCCAACACGUGUUUGUUUAGUAGUCCUCUCCUUCAUCAUCCUCACCCUCAGCUGAUUCAGCACCCACCUCUUCAUAAUCCUUCUCAAGUGCAGCAAGAUCCUCUCGGGCUUCCGAGAACUCUCCUUCCUCCAUACCCUCACCUACGUACCAGUGAACGAAUGCACGCUUUGCAUACAUCAGAUCGAACUUGUGGUCGAUACGAGAGAAUACCUCAGCAACACUGGUGGAGUUGGAGAUCUUGCACACAGCUCUUUGCACCCGGGCAAGAUCGCCUCCAGGGACAACAGUUGGUGGUUGGUAGUUGAUACCACACUUGAAUCCAGUGGGGCACCAAUCAACAAACUGGAUGGUGCGCUUGGUCUUGAUGGUGGCAACAGCAGCAUUCACGUCCUUAGGCACAACAUCACCACGAUACAUCAGGCAGCAAGCCAUGUAUUUACCGUGUCGAGGAUCACACUUGACCAUCAUAGACGAGGGCUCAAAAGCGCUGUUGGUGAUUU
rnacentral:lncRNA from 1 species